CAGAAGCGGCACUCCGCCAUCAUCUUACCCCGGGUUUAUUCGGAACAAACGGACUUUCGGUGCCUCGGGACGACGGUGUGGUGUCCACGCAGAGCGUUCUGAGAGCCAGACGGUGCGAGACGAUAUAAUGUGCUGUUCCUGAAGAGAUCGGUUUGUGGCUCCAAGCAGGACCAUUAAAUCUGUAAUGAAGCCAGCUGCAGCAGGACACCGUUAUCCGUACGCUACCGUCUUGCCGGCACCAGAACACAAACACUUUUUGGGAUUUGGGACUGACUGAAGUGUGAGGCAUUUUAUCUGCCAUGAAAGUGGAGUAUCCGAUGUGGAGCUGAAGAGGGCACAGUCCAAAGACGUGGAUUAGAUCAGAAUACUCUACUCUAAAUCGCCCAUAGGUGUGAAUGUGAGUAAGUGAGUGAAAUGUUCAUCUCUGGGAUAGAUUGGUGCCACGCCCAGGGUGGGCCCUGCAUCUGCUGUGAUUUGGCUCCUGCAGCUCUGACGGAUGGCUUGAUGGAUGCCAGAUGAAUUUGGUACUUCAGUAGAACUUAUCAUUGUAUUGCAUGAUUGGAAAUUAUUGUAUUAUUGUGAAGCGCCAUAGGGCAGAUAGUGUAUAUGGUGCUAUAAAAAUGCUAUAUUUAUUAUUAUUAUUAUUAAUUAUUAUUAUUAUAAAUUGGACUCGAAGCCAUGAUUAGUAUCAGUCUUGGUGGAGAUGACAACUUUUUUUUUUUUUCAUCUCAUCUCAUCUCAUCAUCUCUAGCUGCUUUAUCCUGUUCUACAGGGUCGCAGGCAAGCUGGAGCCUGUCCCAGCUGACUACAGGCGAAAGGCGGGGUACACCCUGGACAAGUCGCCAGGUCAUCACAGGGCUGACACAGACAACCAUUCACACCUACGGUCAAUUUAGAGUCACCAGUUAACCUAACCUGCAUGUCUUUGGACUGUGGGGGAAACCAGAGCACCCGGAGGAAACCCACGCGGACACAGGGAGAACAUGCAAACUCCACACAGAAAGGCCCUUGCCGGCCACGGGGCUCGAACCCGGACCUUCUUGCUGUGAGGCGACAGCGCUAACCACUACACCACCGUGCCGCCCCAUGCUGAAAUAUUAAAUGUCAUGAAAUGCAAAGUUACACAAUUUCAGCUUUUUCAUGUUCAUGCUCUUAAGUUAAUCAGUUUCCUACCUAGUUAUCGAAUCGAUAAAAUUAUGCUGAUAAUGAGAAACUAUGAACUCCUCCACUGAUGUACUCAGUUUUUCGCAUCGUGUGCAUGAUUAGGUGAAUAGGUCACAUUGAGGUAGAUAUCAAUGUCUCAAAACAGAACGCAUCCACGUCAUGGAGAGAAAAAUCCACACACUCUUCAAGACUUCUGAAUAAUGCUUUCCUACAUUAUCCAUCACACUGCUUGACUUAUUUUGGUCCUUUAGUCUGUCCAGCUUCCUCACCUUGUCCUCUGUACACUGUGCUCAGGUUCCAAAGCUUCUCCGGUCCUGUUAAUGCUACUGUGAACAUCACACUUGUCAUCUCAUAUGUUGCGAACUAACCGAAUCGAGGCUCUGCUGUGACUCAGAUGUAUAGCUGCUGCGUUGCGUUCUGGAACUUUAGUCUUGCGUUUGCUCCAACGUCUCCACUGCUCCUAGAUCAGAUUCAUCAUUAAUAUGACUUGGAACAUCACUGGAAAACAGUGUCUGACCUUUAAGCUCUUGCUAAUGGUAAAAUCUGAUCUGUAUCCCUCAUUUGAUUGUUUUUGCCCCCCUUCCCACCCUCAACUUCAUUAUAAUUGCAUGAGAAAUGUCCUGCUGUGAUGUCAAAGUACCACACAGCAAUCAAAUUAUAAUCCAAAAGGGUUUGUUUUUUAAAUAUAAACAUUAUCACAACACGUGUUUCAGGGUGGAGAUUAAAUUAAAUUAAUCCUUAAUUAAAAAAAUCACAAUGCCUUAGACAAAAUUAUCUGUAACUUUAAAAGCGCUGUGGAAAAAAAGACGUUUUUUUACUUACACAAGUGAGUUCUGACUAAAAUGGUACCUUUUUUUAUGUAGAAAUACCAUUAAAAAUGUCUUCAUGGUUACACACUAUAAUGUACUGUGAACACCAUUUCUAUCAGUGCAUUUCUCCUGAACACAUGGAGCAGCUGAGACUAGGAUAGACUCGCUUUACAGCAGGUGAACGUUUCUGUGAAAUCCUGAGAAAUGUGUGUCCCAGAGCCGUCUCUAGGCCUGUGUAAUGUGGAGAGAUCUAAACCCUGUACAUACAGCAAGAGCUCCCUGGUGCCUACUGUGAAAAAAAUUCAGCAGACCUUCUGACAUUUUAGUUGUGGGGGGAUCGAAAUAAGUGUGAAAAUGGCCAACUUGGCUUGUCCCACCUGUAACCUUGGUUUGAACUAAGUGUUAUUUCUCCACUGAAAGUCAGCAGACAAGAUUACCCUCUGUGGAUAUGAGUGUGUUUAAAAGGAAAUACAACUAAGCUUGAUGCAGCUUUUAAUUAUUUUGAGUGCAACUCAGCCAAAGCAGGUGUCCCACGAACUUGCGGUCAACUCUGUGACAGUGCUGAAUUCAGCCCCAGUGUUGCAAUGGUUACUCAGAUACAAGGUUCACCUGUGUCUGUGUUGUCUGGCAGGGAGGGCAACAGAACAACCUUUCAUACACAUGAAGAAGAAACCUUUAUUCGUCACAUGCACACUUCAAGCACAGUGAAAUUCAUCCUCUGCAUUUAACCUAUCUGAAGCAGUGAACACACGCGCGCGCGCGCACACACUCAGAGCAGUGGGCAGCCCAGAGCACCCGGGGAGCAGUCAGGGGUUCGGUACGGCUGAGGUGCUCAAGGACAUCUCAGCCCAAGGCCGCCCCACAUCAACCUAACUGCAUGUCUUUGGACUGUGGGGGAAACCGGAGCACCCGGAGGAAACCCACGCAGACACGGGGAGAACAUGCAAACUCCACACAGAAAGGCCCUCGCCAGCCGCUGGGUUUGAACCCAGAUCCUUCUUGCUGUGAGGCGACCGUGCUAACCACUACACCACCGUGCCGCCCACGGAGCACCCAGAGGAAUCCCACGCAGACAUGGGGAGAACAUGCAAACUCCACACAGAAAGACCCUCGCCGGCUGCUGGGUUCAAACCCGGAACCUUCUUGUAGUGAGGCGACCGUGCUAACCACCGAUCAUGUGUACUGCUUUUGGUUGUUUUUUGCAUGGAAAAAUUGAAUCCUACCUUUUUUUUCUGUGUGUGUGUCAACUCUGUGACGGUGAUUACAUCUGCAAGAUUAACUGUGGUAAGUAGUCAGGAUGAUGAAACAAAGUGGCAGCCCACUCCCUUCACGCACGUGACCCUGGGUGAUAACGGGUUGAUACCAAUGACAUGGCAAGCCAAAAAGCCCAAAAUUAGUCAACUGUGACGUCUAGUGGAUGUAGCAUUGCCAGUGCUGCUGGAUACAGCAGUGCAGGCUCCAAUUCCACCAACAAUGUCUACUGUCCAUCCAUCCACUAUCUGUAGCUGCUUAUCCUGUCCUACAGGGUUGCAGGCAAGCUGGAGCCUAUCCCAGCUAGCUAUGGGCGAGAGGCAGGGUACACCCUGGACAAGUCGCCAGGUCAUUGCAGGACAAUGUCUGCUAAUGAAGCCAAAUUCUAGACAAUAAGCUGUUUAAUUUUGACUUUAAAGGAGGGGGUGCACAAAAAGUAACAGGCUUAGCAGAGUUAUUAGCUUCAAUAUUUUGACUGCAUUUACUCCCAAAUUAAGAUUAAAAAGCUACAAAUUAGUAUUUUCUGUCCAUCCAUUAUCUGUGACUGCUUAUCCUGUGCAGGGUUGCGGGCAAGCUGGAGCCUAUCCCAGCUGACUAUGGGCGAGAGGCGGGGUACACCCUGGACAAGUCACCAGGUCAUCACAGGGCUACAUGUAGAGACAACCAUUCACACCUAUGGUCAAUUUAGAGCCACUAAUUAACCUAACCUGCAUGUUUUUGGACUGUGGGGGAAACAUGGGGAGCACGUGCAAGCUAUACACAGAAAGGCCCUCAUCAGCCACUGGGCUUGAACCCAGAACCUUCUUGCUGUGAGGCGACAGUGCUAACCACUACACCGUACCGCCAGUAUAUUUUGUCAUUUAUACAAAAUAGUUAAGGAUUACAGCCACCAGGAGUGUAUUACAGGAGUAGAUGAUAGCUGGUCUGUCUGAGUUGAUCUCUCACAAAAUAAAUGAUGUAUGUGAUUAGUGUUUUGUACACUGAAAAAUAUAAAAGUGUUUGAGCACGGCUCUGCUGUGGACCUUUCACUUGGGAUGUGGUCUGAUCAUUUGGCAGUAUUUGUACCAAAACCUUUCAUUUUUGCCAAAUUGCCCACCCCAAAUUUCAGUAUUCACAGAAACACUUGGUUACAGAUGUCAUCUAAAAUCUUACUCGUGUUGAAUAAGAAACCAUUUUCAGCUCAUGAUUUUUGUCUGAGAAGAACAGGAAGACCUGCAGUCGCUUCAAAAUUAACAACCCGGACAGAGAAACUGACUAAUCCCAGUAUAAAGGUGAAUUGUUGCUAAUCUUCAGCAAACUGCAUGGUAAGGUUUUUCACCUUUACACACUUGACUCUGUAAAGGUUCAGUGACCAGAUUUUCCAGCAGCACAAGCUUCCUCACAUGCACCCAGUGAAAUUUUCUUUCAGUGUCUUGUAAUUAAAGAAAUAUGCAGUGCUCAAGACCACAAAUUUUACUGACGUGUAAAGCAUAAUGUGUGUGUGUGUGUGUGUGUGUGUGCGUGCAUACUGUCACUUGGAUUAAGGCCAGAUCCUGCAGUGCUCCAAGACAGAAAUGCUGUUUCUUGGUUUUGUGUUUGUGAGAUGUUUUUAAUGUGACCUGACAGGGCGAGACUGUGCAUUUCACUAGCAGACAGACCUUUUUAACAUGGCCACAGAACAUCGCUGCUUUUUUAAUGUUUUCCAUCAAGAUUUCAUUGAAUGCCUGGGGGGGGCAUUUUUCUAUAAUGGUGGUAGAAAAAAAAAUUAGACUGAAUAAUUAAACACAUGGCUACUAGUAGCUUACAGGGUUUAGUAGAGAUUUUGACUGAAGAUGUUCCUGCGACCUGACAUCAACCCGGCUGUGUCCUUGGAGGUCAAGACCGUAUUGUGUUACCAUCACAUUAGUGUUUGCCUCGGCGAACAUUCAACGCUGUCGGUGAGUUUGAGCUAAACUGAAAAAAAACCAUCGACCGUUGAUUGUACCCCAUGGCCUAACUCUGACAGCACUCCUCAACACAGGCUAAAAUAUCAAGAGACCGUCCUGGGAUGUCGUCUUCAUCCUCUUGAGUACUCGGGGCUUUGGGGAAAGAGCUCUUAUCAAAGGUCACAAUCAACAUUCAUUGCUGUCGGUGGGUUGCACUGUGAAGGAAAGCUCACUGAACAAUGAAUGCAACUGUGUCCCAAUCUUUCUCAUCUCACAUUAACAAACGGAGAUGAUGAAAUCUCUUGCUAACUCAUGCCUGGUAUUGCUUGUAUCUCCAUGUAAUGAAGACUGUAUCUCAAAUAAUACAGAACACUACCUGUGUUAAGGGGGGGGGGGGAUGAGAAUAAAGGAUAUUUAUCACAGCUUUCUUUGUGUUUUAAAGAAUUAAUCAUUCAUCACCGUACCACAGCCUGGUGUGUAGUUUAGAUUAGAUUACUUUACCUCAGAGCAAAGCAGAGUAUACUGAAGGUUUAUUUUCAAUAUAUUUUUUCCUGUUUCAUCUAUACACACCUUCAUGAAACCUUUCUCCAUCUAAGAAUUUGAAAGAAGAAACACAUCACACACAAUGAAAAUCCUCCUCUGCAUUUAACCCAUCUGAAGCAGUGAGCAUGCGCAUGCACACACAGACGGAUGUUAUUUGCCUUGCUCAAGGGCACUUCAACCAUGAUACAGAGGGAGGGGGAAAGUGCUGUUCAUUCACUCAACUCCCCUCACAUUUUUCCUGCCAUUCCCAGGAAUCAAACCAGCAACCUUUUGAGCCCAAGGCUGCUUCUCUAACCUUCAGGCCAUGGCUACUCCUUUGCUUUGUUUCAAAAGUCACUUUUAACCCAUAAAACAAAGUAUGGAGGUAUGAAUGUUCAUGUUGGAUUAUGGCCCAAAGGGAUGUUUUGUUGGACUUGCGCACCAGGUGUUGUCUGCUAAUACUUUUGCUUGAGGCUAAACUGAUGGUACUCAGUGAUAUCAACAUUUUAUCUGCUACAGUUUACACGAGGCAGAGAAAAUGUCCCAGCCCUUUCUAGGCUAAACCGAGAUUACGGCUCCUUGCCGUUCAUUCACGAAACAUUAAUCCAAAUUAAAUUGGUCAAGUAGCUGAACUGGCUUAUCGUAUCAGUGUUGGGGUGAGUGCGCAGAGGAAUGCCAGUCAAUCCUCUGGAUUAAUUAACAGCAGAUUACAGUUCAAUCCAAACGCUGUAAUGGUGGACAUCUUUAAUCUGUGUAGCUCUCCGUGUGCUUUCGACUCAUCCUGAGAUACCUAGAAAAUAAAAAGACAGUGAUGUCAACAAGAGAGGAAAGAAGGUUAUGUUUACAUGAUAAAAAGCAAUAUAAAGGAGGGAUGAUGGAAAGGGGGAGGAAAAAGUCAAAUGACUAGCAAUUUACACGAACGCACACAAAUGAAUGCAUUCGUUUUCAGAGGCCACUUUCUUCUCGUCAGGAUUGCAUUGGAUCUUAAUAGGCAUGAAGCGGGAAUUGGGACGUGAGCCCAUUGCACAGGUACAGAUUAAAGUGGAAUAAGGUGAUGGAACUCCAGCAGUGAUAGAUUAUUAGAUUUCAAGCCGCGUGUGUGUGUAUGUAUGUACAGAAUUGUAUGGAGCAGGUUCUGGAGCUGCUCUGUCCCUUUCUCAUUUCAUUUUGGUGUCCUAUACAUUUAUAUAUAAAUAAAUAGCGAUGACAAUAUCUUUGAAAAAGAUGGUCUGCUUUUUCUGUGAUUCAUCUCUAAAACAGUGCGAAGAAUGAUCAGUGAUUGGACCUUUCAGUUAACUUGCUCACAUCCAUUUUGAUCGGAACACCUAUAGACCUGCACAUUCAUGCAGUUAAUUACAAGUAGUCAAGCAUGCAGAUACAAAUCAAGAGCUUCAGUUAAUGUUCACAAUGUUCAAACAUUAGAAUGGGAAAAAUUCUAAUCUCGCAGUGAAGUGUGACUUCCUUUCACUGUGGCAUGGGUGUUGGUUUGAGCCACAUGGACCGGUUUGAGUAUUUCAGAAACUGCUGAUCUCCUGUGGUUUUCACAAACAGUCUAGAGUUUACACAGACAGAAUGGUGUGAAAAACAAAAAACACCAAGUGAGGGACAGUUCUGUGGGUGGAAACAAACCCCUUGUUGAUAAGAGAGGUCAGAGGAACAUAGCCAGAUUGGUUCGAGCUUUUUUUUGCCAGGAAGGAUAUAGUAACUCAUACAAUCACUCUUUACAACCGUGGUGAGCAGAAAAGCAUCUCAGCAUGCACAAAACAUCAAACACUGAGGUGUUGAGACCAUGUUUCCUUUCAGUUAGUCAAGUCUGUAGAAAAGCAAAUUACAAAGUGAUUCCAUAAUUUUUUUUUCCUCAACACAACACUGAGUGAUUCCAAUUUUCUUUCUCUAAUUGAUUUGGGGGGAAACAAUAAUAUGCUAUUAAUUAAAAUAAUUGAAUUUAAUUUGUUUGAGGUGUGUAUCGUGAAGCCAGUGUUUGGGUAUUAAACCGAUAUUGUUUUGUCAUUUGUCAGCUGUGAUUUGUUUAUUUUCUCUGAAGUUAAAAAUCCUCAAAGUGAGGCGAUUUCAUCAUUUUUGCCAGGGGUUGUAUGAGGUCAGAUUCCCGCUUCUCAGUGUUUGCUGAUCUUGCAUCAGAUUACACGGCUAACAGUAAACUGGACGACGUUAUUAAAGAUGAAAUAUUGUUGGCUCGCUCUUCUUCCUGUGAAACAUUUCGGCUUGAUUCCUGCUGUCCAUCACGUCCAGUUACAAACAGAAAACUUGAAUUUUUACCACUGUGCCAGAUUGGUCCUGCUUGCUUUAACCCAAGAGCAUAAGUUUGUGUUGCCAUGCGUGCGCACACAAAAACACACACACACAAAAAAAAAAAGACCCCUUGCAUUGAUGUCACAUUUUAUGUUAGCAGCCGUCGCUACCCUUGUCCUGGGGGACAAGCAAACUUUGCUUACGUACUGUUCACAUACUGAAGCCAAGUGAAGAUGUCCGACAUCUGUUGCUGUUUGAAGAAAACUACAGCUAAAAAUGCUCUACUACUGGAUUACUUGGACAAUCUUAGUCAGAAAGAAGUGAAGGAUAGAUAUACAUGGAAAUUAGAGUUUAUUAGUGAUUAUGAUCCGUACAAAAUUCCUCAAAAUGAUUGGAGUUAUGUAAAUUUGUGGCCUCGUCUUACCUACACAGAUGUUGGAAUAUACCUUCUUUUUCCAGAAGAGUCCUGACACGGAAUUCUUUCCACAAAGAAGGUGUGAAAGCCAAAGCAUUUACUCUCAAAGGACUCCGACCUGAACUGUGGGCUUGAUGGUAUUCCCUCCCAGCCCUCCAUGUGUCAACAACCCCAAGGAUGUCUAGUUACAUAGCUACACAUUUGCACUCUGUAUUGCAUUUAUAGCGAUACUUAUUAUUGCUAAAACAGUACAUGAAGUGGUGUUGUUUGUAAAAUAAAAUAUUUUACUCAACUUUUAAACAAUUAACAUUAAUAUUUUAUUUUAAUUUUAUCUAAUAGUGGA